ACACUACUCCAAAUACAAACUAGAACAAGCAGUUUAACUGUAUUAAUACCUGUUGUUUAUAUGCAUUAUCUUCUCCAAACUAUAGUUAUUUUUUCCCCAUUGCCAAAAUAAAACACAAAUGCAGCUCACAUUGCAAUUAUCAUUCAAGGCACAGGUAAGGGUUUUAAGCUUUAAGUUUUGUGGUACAUUAUAAGUGUCCAGAUAGCAAACCAAUUUCUUCUCUCAAAGCCAAUGCUAAAUGUUACAGUUUCAUUCCCUCCUUGUAAUGGAGAUUAAGAUUCCCUUCUACUUUAUCCUUAUAGCAAAGCUGAACUGUGGUUGAUACAUAAAUAACUUGGUAGUAAGUUC